rnacentral:rRNA from 1 species
GAUGAACGCUGGCGGCGUGCUUAACACAUGCAGGUCGAACGGAAAGGCUCCUGCUUGCAGGGGUACUCGAGUGGCGAACGGGUGAGUAACACGUGGGUGAUCUGCCCAGCACUUCGGGAUAAGCCUGGGAAACUGGGUCUAAUACCGGAUAGGACGAUGGUUUGGAUGCCAUUGUGGAAAGUUUUUUCGGUGUGGGAUGAGCUCGCGGCCUAUCAGCUUGUUGGUGGGGUAAUGGCCUACCAAGGCGUCGACGGGUAGCCGGCCUGAGAGGGUGUACGGCCACAUUGGGACUGAGAUACGGCCCAGACUCCUACGGGAGGCAGCAGUGGGGAAUAUUGCACAAUGGGCGCAAGCCUGAUGCAGCGACGCCGCGUGGGGGAUGACGGCCUUCGGGUUGUAAACUCCUUUCGCUAGGGACGAAGCGCAAGUGACGGUACCUGGAGAAGAAGCACCGGCUAACUACGUG